rnacentral:rRNA from 1 species
GAUGAACGCUGGCGGCGUGCCUAAUACAUGCAAGUCGAGCGAACGGACGAGAAGCUUGCUUCUCUGAUGUUAGCGGCGGACGGGUGAGUAACACGUGGAUAACCUACCUAUAAGACUGGGAUAACUUCGGGAAACCGUAGCUAAUACCGGAUAAUAUUUUGAACCGCAUGGUUCAAAAGUGAAAGACGGUCUUGCUGUCACUUAUAGAUGGAUCUGCGCUGCAUUGGCUAGUUGGUAAGGUAACGGCUUACCAAGGCAACGAUGCAUAGCCGACCUGAGAGGGGGAUCGGCCACACUGGAACGGAGACACGGUCCAGACGCCUACGAGAGGCAGCAGUAGGGAAUCUGCCGCAGUGGGCGAAAGCCUGACGGAGCAACGCCGCGUGAGUGAUGAAGGUCUUCGGAUCGUAAAACUCUGUUAUUAGUGAAGAACAUAUGUGUAAGUAACUGUGCACAUCUUGACGGUACCGAAUCAGAAAGCCACGGCUAACUACGUG